rnacentral:rRNA from 1 species
AUUGAACGCUGGCGGCAGGCCUAACACAUGCAAGUCGAGCGGAUGAAGGGAGCUUGCUCCUGGAUUCAGCGGCGGACGGGGGAGUGAUGCCUAGGAAUCUGCCUGGUAGGGGGGGGGGACAUCCUGAGACGGGCGCUGAUACCGCAUACGUGCUGAGGGAGAAAGUGGGGGGGGGUCGGACCUCACGCGCUGAGGGGAGCUUAGGUGGGGUUAGCUAGUUGGUGGGGUAAAGGGCUACCAAGGCGAGGAUCCGUGACUGGUCUGAGAGGGUGAUCAGCCACAUUGGAGCGUAGCCAGGGUCCAGACUCCUAAGGGACGGACCAGUGGGGAAUAUUGGACAAUGGGCGAAAGCCUGAUCCAGCCAUGGGGCGCGUGUGAAGAAGGUCUUCGGAUUGUAAAGCACGCUAAGGUGGGAGGAACCGCAGUAACUUAAUACCUUGCUGUUUUGACGGUAACAAGAGAAUAAGCACCGGCUAACUUCGUG